rnacentral:rRNA from 1 species
GUGGGGAAUUUUGGACAAUGGGGGCAACCCUGAUCCAGCCAUGCCGCGUGCGGGAAGAAGGCCUUCGGGUUGUAAACCGCUUUUAGCUGGGAAGAAAAGACUCGGGCUAACACUCCGGGUUCUUGACGGUACCGGCGGAAUAAGCACCGGCUAACUACGUGCCAGCAGCCGCGGUAAUACGUAGGGUGCGAGCGUUAAUCGGAAUUACUGGGCGUAAAGCGUGCGCAGGCGGUUCGUUAAGUUUGUCGUGAAAGCCCCGGGCUCAACCUGGGAAUGGCGAUGAAAACUGGCGAGCUGGAGUGUGGCAGAGGGGGGUGGAAUUCCAGGUGUAGCAGUGAAAUGCGUAGAGAUCUGGAGGAACACCGAUGGCGAAGGCAGCCCCCUGGGCUGACACUGACGCUCAGGCACGAAAGCGUGGGGAGCAAACAGGAUUAGAAACCCCAGUAGUCC